GGUGCCUUCGGGAACUCUGAGACAGGUGCUGCAUGGCUGUCGUCAGCUCGUGUUGUGAAAUGUUGGGUUAAGUCCCGCAACGAGCGCAACCCUUAUCCUUUGUUGCCAGCGGUUAGGCCGGGAACUCAAAGGAGACUGCCAGUGAUAAACUGGAGGAAGGUGGGGAUGACGUCAAGUCAUCAUGGCCCUUACGAGUAGGGCUACACACGUGCUACAAUGGCGCAUACAAAGAGAAGCGACCUCGCGAGAGCAAGCGGACCUCAUAAAGUACGUCGUAGUCCGGAUUGGAGUCUGCAACUCGACUCCAUGAAGUCGGAAUCGCUAGUAAUCGUGGAUCAGAAUGCCAC
rnacentral:rRNA from 1 species